rnacentral:rRNA from 1 species
UAGGGAAUCUUCCACAAUGGGCGCAAGCCUGAUGGAGCAACACCGCGUGAGUGAAGAAGGGUUUCGGCUCGUAAAGCUCUGUUGUUAAAGAAGAACACGUAUGAGAGCAACUGUUCAUACGUUGACGGUAUUUAACCAGAAAGUCACGGCUAACUACGUGCAAG